GUGAACGCUGGCGUUAGGCCUCACACAUGCCAGUCGAACGGCAGCACAGUAAGAGCUUGCUCUUACGGGUGGCGAGUGGCGGACGGGUGAGGAAUACAUCGGAAUCUACUUUUUCGUGGGGGAUAACGUAGGGAAACUUACGCUAAUACCGCAUACGACCUACGGGUGAAAGCAGGGGAUCUUCGGACCUUGCGCGAUUGAAUGAGCCGAUGUCGGAUUAGCUAGUUGGCGGGGUAAAGGCCCACCAAGGCGGCGAUCCGUAGCUGGUCUGAGAGGAUGAUCAGCCACACUGGAACUGAGACACGGUCCAGACUCCUACGGGAGGCAGCAGUGGGGAAUAUUGGACAAUGGGCGCAAGCCUGAUCCAGCCAUACCGCGUGGGUGAAGAAGGCCUUCGGGUUGUAAAGCCCUUUUGUUGGGAAAGAAAAGCAGCAGGUUAAUACCCCGCUGUUCUGACGGUACCCAAAGAAUAAGCACCGGCUAACUUCGUG
rnacentral:rRNA from 1 species